rnacentral:rRNA from 1 species
UACGUAGGGGGCAAGCGUUGUCCGGAAUCAUUGGGCGUAAAGAGCGUGUAGGCGGCCAGAUAAGUCCGCUGUGAAAUCUCGAGGCUCAACUUCGAGCUGUCGGUGGAAACUGUCUGGCUAGAGUGCGGUAGGGGAGAUUGGAAUUCCUGGUGUAGCGGUGGAAUGCGCAGAUAUCAGGAGGAACACCGAUGGCGAAGGCAGAUCUCUGGGCCGUAACUGACGCUGAGGAGCGAAAGCAUGGGGAGCGAACAGG